GGGUUGUGAGGUUAAGCGACUAAGCGUACACGGUGGAUGCCCUGGCAGUCAGAGGCGAUGAAGGACGUGCUAAUCUGCGAUAAGCGCCGGUAAGGUGAUAUGAACCGUUAUAACCGGCGAUUUCCGAAUGGGGAAACCCAGUGUGACUCGUCACACUAUCAUUAACUGAAUCCAUAGGUUAAUGAGGCGAACCGGGGGAACUGAAACAUCUAAGUACCCCGAGGAAAAGAAAUCAACCGAGAUUCCCCCAGUAGCGGCGAGCGAACGGGGAGGAGCCCAGAGCCUGAAUCAGCAUGUGUGUUAGUGGAAGCGUCUGGAAAGGCGCGCGAUACAGGGUGACAGCCCCGUACACAAAAGCGCAUGUGCUGUGAGCUCGAUGAGUAGGGCGGGACACGUGGUAUCCUGUCUGAAUAUGGGGGGACCAUCCUCCAAGGCUAAAUACUCCUGACUGACCGAUAGUGAACCAGUACCGUGAGGGAAAGGCGAAAAGAACCCCGGCGAGGGGAGUGAAAAAGAACCUGAAACCGUGUACGUACAAGCAGUGGGAGCACAGGUUUACCUGUGUGACUGCGUACCUUUUGUAUAAUGGGUCAGCGACUUAUAUUCUGUAGCAAGGUUAACCGAAUAGGGGAGCCGGAGGGAAACCGAGUCUUAAUUGGGCGUUAAGUUGCAGGGUAUAGACCCGAAACCCGGUGAUCUAGCCAUGGGCAGGUUGAAGGUUGGGUAACACUAACUGGAGGACCGAACCGACUAAUGUUGAAAAAUUAGCGGAUGACCUGUGGCUGGGGGUGAAAGGCCAAUCAAACCGGGAGAUAGCUGGUUCUCCCCGAAAGCUAUUUAGGUAGCGCCUCGUGAAUUCAUCUCCGGGGGUAGAGCACUGUUUCGGCUAGGGGGCCAUCCCGGCUUACCAACCCGAUGCAAACUGCGAAUACCGGAGAAUGUUAUCACGGGAGACACACGGCGGGUGCUAACGUCCGUCGUGAAGAGGGAAACAACCCAGACCGCCAGCUAAGGUCCCAAAGUCAUGGUUAAGUGGGAAACGAUGUGGGAAGGCCCAGACAGCCAGGAUGUUGGCUUAGAAGCAGCCAUCAUUUAAAGAAAGCGUAAUAGCUCACUGGUCGAGUCGGCCUGCGCGGAAGAUGUAACGGGGCUAAACCAUGCACCGAAGCUGCGGCAGCGAUAUGAAAAUAUUGUUGGGUAGGGGAGCGUUCUGUAAGCCUGUGAAGGUGUGUCGUGAGGCAUGCUGGAGGUAUCAGAAGUGCGAAUGCUGACAUAAGUAACGAUAAAGCGGGUGAAAAGCCCGCUCGCCGGAAGACCAAGGGUUCCUGUCCAACGUUAAUCGGGGCAGGGUGAGUCGACCCCUAAGGCGAGGCCGAAAGGCGUAGUCGAUGGGAAACGGGUUAAUAUUCCCGUACUUGGUGUUACUGCGAAGGGGGGACGGAGAAGGCUAUGUUGGCCGGGCGACGGUUGUCCCGGUUUAAGCGUGUAGGUGUGUGUUCCAGGUAAAUCCGGUUCACUUUAACACUGAGGCGUGACGACGAGGCACUACGGUGCUGAAGCAACAAAUGCCCUGCUUCCAGGAAAAGCCUCUAAGCAUCAGGUAACAUCAAAUCGUACCCCAAACCGACACAGGUGGUCAGGUAGAGAAUACCAAGGCGCUUGAGAGAACUCGGGUGAAGGAACUAGGCAAAAUGGUGCCGUAACUUCGGGAGAAGGCACGCUGACACGUAGGUGAAGUGAUUUACUCACGGAGCUGAAGUCAGUCGAAGAUACCAGCUGGCUGCAACUGUUUAUUAAAAACACAGCACUGUGCAAACACGAAAGUGGACGUAUACGGUGUGACGCCUGCCCGGUGCCGGAAGGUUAAUUGAUGGGGUCAGCGCAAGCGAAGCUCCUGAUCGAAGCCCCGGUAAACGGCGGCCGUAACUAUAACGGUCCUAAGGUAGCGAAAUUCCUUGUCGGGUAAGUUCCGACCUGCACGAAUGGCGUAAUGAUGGCCAGGCUGUCUCCACCCGAGACUCAGUGAAAUUGAACUCGCUGUGAAGAUGCAGUGUACCCGCGGCAAGACGGAAAGACCCCGUGAACCUUUACUAUAGCUUGACACUGAACAUUGAGCCUUGAUGUGUAGGAUAGGUGGGAGGCUUUGAAGUGUGGACGCCAGUCUGCAUGGAGCCGACCUUGAAAUACCACCCUUUAAUGUUUGAUGUUCUAACGUGGACCCGUAAUCCGGGUUGCGGACAGUGUCUGGUGGGUAGUUUGACUGGGGCGGUCUCCUCCUAAAGAGUAACGGAGGAGCACGAAGGUUGGCUAAUCCUGGUCGGACAUCAGGAGGUUAGUGCAAUGGCAUAAGCCAGCUUGACUGCGAGCGUGACGGCGCGAGCAGGUGCGAAAGCAGGUCAUAGUGAUCCGGUGGUUCUGAAUGGAAGGGCCAUCGCUCAACGGAUAAAAGGUACUCCGGGGAUAACAGGCUGAUACCGCCCAAGAGUUCAUAUCGACGGCGGUGUUUGGCACCUCGAUGUCGGCUCAUCACAUCCUGGGGCUGAAGUAGGUCCCAAGGGUAUGGCUGUUCGCCAUUUAAAGUGGUACGCGAGCUGGGUUUAGAACGUCGUGAGACAGUUCGGUCCCUAUCUGCCGUGGGCGCUGGAGAACUGAGGGGGGCUGCUCCUAGUACGAGAGGACCGGAGUGGACGCAUCACUGGUGUUCGGGUUGUCAUGCCAAUGGCACUGCCCGGUAGCUAAAUGCGGAAGAGAUAAGUGCUGAAAGCAUCUAAGCACGAAACUUGCCCCGAGAUGAGUUCUCCCUGAGACUUAGAGUCUCCUGAAGGAACGUUGAAGACGACGACGUUGAUAGGCCGGGUGUGUAAGCGCAGCGAUGCGUUGAGCUAACCGGUACUAAUGAACCGUGAGGCUUAACCUUACAACGCCGAAG
rnacentral:rRNA from 1 species